rnacentral:ncRNA from 1 species
CAUUUCCGCUAGGGGCGCCUUGUAUGAGGCUGAGAUUAAAGCACAAGCUUUAAGACCCUUGGAACCUGAUCUGGCUCGUACCAGCGGAGGGAAGUGGAGACGUUGUUUC